GACGGAGGAUGCAAGCGUUAUCCGGAAUUAUUGGGCGUAAAGCGUCCGCAGGUGGACAUACAAGUCUGCUGUCAAAGUGCAGAGCUUAACUCUGUAAAGGCGGUGGAAACUGUAGGUCUUGAGUAUGGUAGGGGUAGAGGGAAUUCCCGGUGUAGCGGUGAAAUGCGUAGAUAUCGGGAAGAACACCAGUGGCGAAAGCGCUCUGCUGGGCCAUAACUGACACUGAGGGACGAAAGCUAGGGGAGCGAAAGGG
rnacentral:rRNA from 1 species